rnacentral:lncRNA from 1 species
CAAAGCAAUAGUCACUUCCACAUUUGCAUUGUCUUUCAAUGAAAGGUCUCCCCAGGAGCAGUUCGGAAACCCCUUUGAUCCUAGCAAAGAUCCCAUUCUAGGGGUGGGAGUAAUGGAGAGGAAUAAGUAAGGAGAAGAAACCAGAUUAAGCAGCGGUACAGGAUUUUUUUAAAAAGGACAAGUUCAGGCUGUUCUGUUUUACUAAACAGUUUUUAUCCAUUGAGGUAUUAAACAAGAUGGUCACCUGUACUGAUGUGCCUACAGCCGGGUUCCCGAGUUAAUAUUGGUAGAAUGUAACCUACUCGUUCUAGCAAAUAAUGAUUUCUUCAAUGUUAUUUCCAGACUCUAAAAUAGAGCUCAAGCUUGAGAAGAGAGAGCCGCUAAAGGGCAGAGCAAAGACUCCAGUAACACUCAAGCAAAGGAGGAUUGAGCACAAUCAGGUAUCUGUAGUUUUAUGGUCACCAUGUCCAGUGUGUCACCUGACCCGUGUCUUGACCUUUGAUAAAUAGUUGGUGCACACAGUGCCGCUUGCCACAGACUCGGUUUCCCAGUUGAGCGGCAUGGGGCACGUGCUUUGUGAGAUGUGUCACAAGCAUAGCCUCUGGUGUGUAGUCCUGCUAAGCUGUCCAGCAUUAGUCAAGGUGCCGGUUUCUAGUUUGGGUGUAGCAGUUUUGAACCUGGGGUCUCAGGCCAGUGUCCCCCUACCUCAUGCUUCCUCUUGAGGAUUGUUUUAGAAGAUAAAAUGCACCUUUUUUUUUUUUUUUUUUUUGAUGCAACUUAUUUGAAAUCUCGGGAAAGUCUUAUUUGUCUUUGUGUCUAGAUUUUUCAAUCUUAUUUACUUUAUUUGUAGCUUCUUGCACUUUGAAGCUAGUGUGAUACAUUGUUUAAGAUGACAGUUUCCUUUGGGGGGGGGAUGGGACAGGAAGGGCAAGAUAGAGUUUUCAAAAGGAAACUGGGGAGAGAAUUAGCAUGAGGCAUUAAUUAAAUACAUUAGUUUGCAGAGGGAAGUUACUGGCUCUGAUUUAGGCCCCGCACCCUAGGUUCUUUUCCUCAUCUUUACUCAUCACUUGAAAAUUGUUACUUUGUUACUCAUCUAUCCUUCCCACAGUCUGUCUGCCUCUGGUUUCUGUGGUGUUUUUGAAACAGUGAUUCACAGAGAAGCCUUGGCACGCCUGCCCAGGCUGGCCUCUUGUAAAGCUUCCUGCUUCCUGAGAGAUGGGAUUCCUGGUGUUCACUACCGGGUCCUGCUGACUUUCUUCCGGGUGAUGGGAAGGGAGAGGCAGGGCCCACUAUUCCUGACCCUCCUGCCUGUACCUCACAGAUGCUGGGAUUACAGGAGUGUAGCACAGAUCCUAGCCAAAAAAAAAAA